AUUAGCUGGGCGUGUUGGCUCAUGCCUGUAGUCCCAGCUACCCAGGAGGCUGAGGUGGAAGGAUUACCUGAACUCCAGAGGUUGAGGCUGCAGUGAGCUAUUAAUACAAUUGCACAACUGCCCUCCAGCCUGGGCAACACAGAGCAAGACCCUGUCACCCACCCCCCACCAACAAAAAAUCAAAAAGCAAAAAACAAAAAUG
rnacentral:lncRNA from 1 species